UCCACCACCCACAUUAAUACUUUAGGUCUAUUGCAUGAUAAAUGCGAAAAUUAUUAUUAUUUUUUGCGGGUUUGAUUUUUAUUACAUGAUGCUAUUUAUUGAUCGUGGAAGGGUC